rnacentral:rRNA from 1 species
AAAUAAUAUGGUCAAGCGAGUAAGGGCGUACGGUGGAUGCCUUGGCACUGGUAGGCGAUGAAGGUCGCGGCAAGCUGCGAUAAGCCCCGGGGAGGAGCAAGCAUCCUUUGAUCCGGGGGUCACCGAAUGGGAAAACCUAUCGGGGUAAACCCUCGAUAUCCGUUACUGAAUACAUAGGUGACGGAGGCAAACCUGGAGAAUUGAAACAUCUUAGUAACCAGAGGAAAAUAAAGCAAAAUGCGAUUCCCUAAGUAGUGGCGAGCGAACGGGGAACAGCCUAAACCGAUCUAUACGUUACAGGCCUGGACCGCUGUAGGAUCGGGGUAAUAGGAUCUGAACUGAGGGCAUUCAGGGGCCCUCGGGAAGUUAUAAAACCUUAGUUUAGCCGAAUCCGCUGGAAAGAGAGCCAAAGUGGGUGAUAGCCCCGUAGGCGAAAAAUUAAGGUCUUCCUGGUUCAGUCUCCUGAGUACUGCGGGACACGUGAAAUCCUGUAGGAAGUUACGAGGACCAUCUCGUAAGGCUAAAUACUCACCAGUGACCGAUAGUGCACAAGUACCGUGAGGGAAAGGUGAAAAGAACCCCGAGAGGGGAGUGAAAUAGAAUCUGAAACCGUAUGCUUACAAGGUGUAGGAGGGCUAUGACGCAAGUCAUGCCUGACUGCGUGCCUUUUGUAGAAUGAGCCGGCGAGUUACUCUAUAUAGCGAGGUUAAGUGAUUGUAAUCACGGAGCCGUAGCGAAAGCGAGUCCGAAUAGGGCGAAUAGUUGUAUGGAGUAGACCCGAAACCGAGUGAUCUAUCCAUGGCCAGGUUGAAACAGGGGUAAAACCCUGUGGAGGACCGAACCGUUUAAUGUUGAAAAAUUAUCGGAUGAGCUGUGGAUAGGAGUGAAAGGCUAAACAAACUCGGCAAUAGCUGGUUCUCCCCGAAAUAGCUUUAGGGCUAGCCUAAUGCGUUCAGUUACGGUGGUAGAGCACUGAUAGAGGUAGGGGGUCCACAAACUUACCAAACUCUUUCAAACUUCGAAUGCCGUAACUCCAGAGCAUUGGAGUCAGACUACGGGGGCUAAGCUCCGUGGUCGAGAGGGAAACAGCCCAGAUUAACAGCUAAGGUCCCGAAGUAUAUGCUAAGUGAUAAAGGAAGUGGAAUCGCUUAAACAGCCAGGAGGUUGGCUUAGAAGCAGCAAUACCUUUAAAGAGUGCGUAAUAGCUCACUGGUCGAGUGGUUCUGCGCCAAAAAUGAUUGGGGCUAAGCAUAUCACCGAAGCUUUAGAUUCAGCGCAAGCUGAGUGGUAGGGGAGCGUUCUAUGCGGGUUGAAGGUUGAUCGUGAGGACAACUGGACUGCAUAGAAGUGAGAAUGCCGGCAUGAGUAGCGAUAAAACAUGUGAAAAACAUGUUCGCCGUAAGCCUAAGGUUUUCUGAGCAAUGUUAAUCACCUCAGAGUUAGUCGGCCCCUAAGGCGAGGCCGAAAGGCGUAGUCGAUGGGAAGCAGGUUCAUAUUCCUGCACCACCCGGUGGAGGCUAUCGUGAUGGGGUAACGCAGAAAGAUAUAGACGCAGGGAGUUGGUUUUCCCUGUUCUUAUACGAAGGCUUGGGAUUUAGGGAAAUCCGGAUCCCUUUAAGGCUGAGGUUGUAGAGGAGUUCCCUCUUCGGAGGGAGCGAAGGUCUUGAUUCUACGCUGCCAGGAAAAACCUCUAAACGCGAAAUUGGGUGACCGUACCGCAAACCGACACAGGUAGGCGAGGAGAGUAUCCUAAGGCGCUCGUGAGAACUCUCGUUAAGGAACUCGGCAAAUUAGUCCCGUAACUUCGGAAUAAGGGACGCCCCGUUAGUGUGAAGUCCUCGCGGACGGAGCAUGAAGGGGCCGCAGUGAAACGGGCCAAGCGACUGUUUACCAAAAACACAGGACUCUGCAAAAUCGUAAGAUGAAGUAUAGGGUCUGACACCUGCCCGGUGCCGGAAGGUUAAAAGGAGGGGUUAGCGUAAUUUAUUAUGCGAAGCUCUGAAUUGAAGCCCCGGUAAACGGCGGCCGUAACUAUGACGGUCCUAAGGUAGCGAAAUUCCUUGUCGGGUAAGUUCCGACCUGCACGAAUGGUGUAACGACUUGGUCACUGUCUCAACGAGAGGCGCGGUGAAAUUGUAGUGUUUGUGAAGAUGCGGACUACCUGCAGAAGGACGGAAAGACCCCGUGGACCUUUACUGUAGCCUGACACUGUAGUUUGGUUCAGUAUGUGUAGGAUAGGUGGGAGACUUGGAAGCCGGGACGCUAGUCUUGGUGGAGUCAACGUUGAAAUACCACCCUUAUUGAAUUGGACUACUAACUGGUACCUGUUGAACCAGGGCCAGGACACUGUCUGGUGGGCAGUUUGACUGGGGCGGUCGCCUCCUAAAAUGUAACGGAGGCGCCCUAAGGUUCCCUCAGCACGGACGGAAAUCGUGCGUAGAGUGUAAACGCAUAAGGGAGCUUAACUGCGAGACCUACAAGUCGAGCAGAUACGAAAGUAGGGGUUAGUGAUCCGGUGGUCCUGAAUGGAAAGGCCAUCGCUCAACGGAUAAAAGGUACCCCGGGGAUAACAGGCUUAUAGUGCCCAAGAGUUCAUAUCGACGGCACUGUUUGGCACCUCGAUGUCGGCUCUUCGCAUCCUGGGGCUGGAGAAGGUCCCAAGGGUUCGGCUGUUCGCCGAUUAAAGCGGAACGCGAGCUGGGUUCAGAACGUCGUGAGACAGUUCGGUCCCUAUCCUCUGCAGGCGUUGGAAAUUUGAAGAGAUCUGUCCCUAGUACGAGAGGACCGGGAUGGACGAACCUCUGGUGUACCAGUUGUCGUGCCAGCGGCACCGCUGGGUAGCUAUGUUCGGAAGGGAUAACCGCUGAAGGCAUCUAAGCGGGAAGCCUACUCUAAGAUUAGAUUUCCCUUGGCCUUUAAGGCCACUGAAGACCCCUCGGAGACUACGAGGUUGAUAGGCAGGAGGUGUAAGCACAGCAAUGUGUUCAGCCGACCUGUACUAAUCGGUCGUGAGGCUUGACCAUAU